CAGGAAGGCAAAAUGUGCUGCUCUCAAGAAGGUGUACAAUAGCUCUGAAGCACUUAUAGCCUCAUAGUUGAUACUGCAGAACACCAGAAGUCAAUUUUUUCCAGCAUGAAAACUGUUAGCCUCAGUGAACAAAAUGAAAAAUGUUUUGGAGCAAACAUUAAAGAAUCAAUUUGUAAGCUCCUAGAAGGGUAACAGCCUUCUGGAUAGUGGAACGCUGGAAAUAAAGUGUCACUAAAAAUCAGCUUGCGUGCCAUAGGUUGCUGACCCCAGCCUAGACAAUUCUUCUAUAAAGUGGGUGCACAAAUGGUUUGAAAACCAUACUCAUAAUCGGUGUCAAUGAUUCACAGACAAGCUGAAAGGGCAUAUCAAGUGGGCUCCCACAAGAAUCUCUCAGGGAUUCGGUUCUAUUCAAUAUCUUCAUAAAUGAUUUGGAUAAUGGCUGAAAGACUACACUUAUAGAGUUUGCAGAUGAUACCAAGCUGAGGGGGGUCGUAAGUGCUUUGGAGGAUGGGAUUUGAAUUCAAACCGAUCUUGGCAAACUGGAGAAAUGGUCUGAAUUAAAUAGAAUGAAAUUCAGUAAGGACAAAUGCAAAGUAGUGCACUGAGGAAGGAAUAAUCAAUUGCACGAAUAUAAAAUGGGAAAUGACUGCCCAAGAGAGAGUACUGCAGAAAAGGAUCUGUGGGUUAUAACAGAUCACAAACUAAAUAUGACUCAACAAUGUAAUGUGCAAAAAGCAAACAUCAUACUGGAAUGUAUUAGCAAGAUAGUUGUAAGCAAGACACAAAAAGUAAUUCUUCCACUCAGCACUGCUAGGGCCUCAACUGGAGUAUUGUGUCCAGUUCUGGGCACCACAUUUCUGGAAAUAUGUGGACAAAUUGGAGAAAGUUCAUAGGGAAGCAAUAAAAAUGACUAAAUGGCCUAUGAGAAAAGAUUGAAAAAAUUGGGUUUGUUUAGUCUGGAGAAGAGAAGACAGAAUGGGGACACCAUAACAGUCUUCAAGUAUGUAAAAGAAUGUUAUAAAGAUGAGGGUAGUAAAUUAUUCUCAUUAUCCAUGGAGGACAGGACAAGAAGCAUGGGCUUAAGUUGCAGCAAGGGAGAUUUAGGUUAGACAUUGGGGCAGACUUCCUAACUGUAAGAGUAUUUAAGCACUGGAGCAAAUUUCCUAGGGAGGUUGUGGAAUCUCUGUCAUUGGAGGUUUUUAAGAGCAGAUGAGACAAACAGCUGUCCGGGAUGGUCUACAUAAUAUUUAGUCCUGCCUCAGUGCAGGAGACUGGACUAGAUGACCUAUCAAGAUCCCUUCUACAUUUCUAGUCCUACAUUUCUAUGAUUCUGUGGCAAGCCUCAAGAUCCUAUUUAAACAAUGAUAAUUAAAUUGAAGUAAUAGGGAUAUGACCGUUUCUGUUAGAAAUGGAUGUACUUGACUACAUGUAUAUAAUUAUUCUAAAUAUCUGAUCACGACUUUCAUGAGUAGGCACAUACUAACAGAGGGUGAAUCUUUGUCCCUAUCUAUAGUUGACCUAUAUUCAUAAAUACCCAAGAUCUAGUGAAAACUGUCACAGUGGCAAUAGUAGUACAGCUCCUUUCUUCUCUGGGAUAGAGGGCUUGAAAGCACAGAGUGGGAAUAUGCAAGGCAAUUGACAGCAUUAAUUAAUGUGGAUGUUACCUGAAGAAUUUGCCAGAGAAUGAUGUCCCAGAGAAUGGCUUUCCUCUGGCUACAUACUCUGUUCCCAGCCCCAAGCUGCUUGUCUUAGCCUCAGCUAUACAAUGCUUCCAUAACUUGAAGGUAUGGUGCUACUUAGGAUUCUUUUCUUUUCUUAUAGGCUUACUGUACUUUUUUUUUUUACCAGUAUUUCCAUGCCUUUCAUUCUUCAGGAUCUAAAAGUAGUGGAGAAGAUAUGGCCCUAAGUAUACAUCUGUGCACUAGUCAGGCUAAUGAUUGUAGUACACCAUAGUAUACGCUGUGUAUCAAUUUGAAAGGAGAUAAUUUUAUAUGCCUCUUGAAUUUGCAUUUCAAACCUGUCUCCUUCAUAGUACCUGCUGGUUUUGACUGACAUUAAAUGAUCUCAUACAUUUUAAUCCAGAAUAAAGACUGCAGUACAAAUUCAUUAACCAGUUUUCCAAAUGGGAUCACCAAUAGUUAAAGGGAAAUUAUUCAUAUUCAGGUCUUGGACAUGGAAAAACUUCUAAUUCUAGCAAUGCUUCUCCAUAAAAAGGCACCAAUUGUCUUUUAUCAGUUGUAAUUGAGGAGGUGUUUCUAAUUCAGUUACUACUGCUCUUAUGUAAUAUAAUAUUAUUUUUAAUUAAUUCUUCCUAGAUUAAAUUCUGAUCACUAAUACCUGUGUAGAUCCAGUGCAAUGCCGUUGAUUUUAGUGGAGUUAUGAGAUUUGCACCGGCGUAAUGUACUGUCAGAAUCUGGCCCUUAUCUAUUUUCUCUAGAUAAGUUACAGACCUGAUUCUCGGCUGUGUUCUGGCCCCUUUUAUGCUGCUCCUGUUGUGUAAUGAGGCUGGAAAGUGACUAGAUCCAUCCCAGGGAGGAAUUCUUCUCCAGAUGGUGGGUAAUACCUAUGCUGCCAUCAUCUCACCACCUCUGUUGGGUGUGUCAAAUAUGGCCUGGAGAGAGCAGUCCUGGGAAAAGAGGUGGAACUCUCUGCUUUGACUAUUCUGGUAGGGUGGCUGCUGAUGGGAGGCUGUUGAAAACCAGGGCGAGAGCAGUCCCAAGCAUUACUUUCACUAAUGGAGGGUGAUGAGGCAGACUCAGAAUCUGGGAUAAACAAAGGAGGCUUAAAACUUUCUCAGCCCAGUCUUCCCUCAGCCAGGGUUGUGACUCCUGAGCUCCACAGUCAGAAUGUGGGACCCGUAUUUUUCAUCAUUGUUCUUUAAGAAGGUCACAAUUCAGUAUCGCAUUGCAGCUGGCGAAGGAAAGGGACAUUCUUGAAAACAAGUCAAAAGUUAAAUUGGAAAACACUUGGACAAUACAGCGCUUUAGCGUCUUGCAGUCUGUAAAAGUCAGACUUUCUCCUUUACAAUAAAAUGAUUGGAGUGAGCAAACUGCUAAUCCCCCUGUUGAAAGUUACAUCCUAACCAAUCUGUCUUGAUUGUCCACAGUGAGAUGUAGAUCUUUGAUAGCUUAGAUGGAAGGGCUACGGCAUUAAUGUAUUUGCAGGUGAUAGGAUUGUUUUAAUGGACAUUCUCAGUGGAAUCUCAGCAGUCCCAGACAGCUUUUUGGUUGAGACAGUCAGGUACACAAAAGGGAUAAAAGCGUCCAUACAGCCGGCAAUUGUUAACAAUUAACAGCAGCUUUCAUGUAUUGUGAGUGGCAUUAUUCUCUAUGGAUGGGAUGAUUUCAGCAUA